rnacentral:rRNA from 1 species
AUACGUAGGGUGCAAGCGUUAAUCGGAAUUACUGGGCGUAAAGCGUGCGCAGGCGGUUUUGUAAGACAGUGGUGAAAUCCCCGGGCUCAACCUGGGGACUGCCAUUGUGACUGCAAGGCUGGAGUGCGGCAGAGGGGGAUGGAAUUCCGCGUGUAGCAGGGAAAUGCGUAGAUAUGCGGAGAAACACCGAUGGCGAAGGCAAUACCCUGGGCCUGCACUGACGCUCAUGCACGAAAGCGUGGGGAGCAAACAGGAUUAGAUACCCUGGGAGUCCACGCCCUAAACGAUGUCAACUGGUUGUUGGGGAUUUAUUUUCUCAGUAACGAAGCUAACGCGUGAAGUUGACCGCCUGGGGAGUACGGCCGCAAGGUUAAAACUCAAAUGAAUUGACGGGG